rnacentral:rRNA from 1 species
CAGUCGCCGCGGGAAUACGUAGGGUGCGAGCGUUAAUCGGAAUUACUGGGCGUAAAGCGUGCGCAGGCGGUUAUAUAAGACAGAUGUGAAAUCCCCGGGCUCAACCUGGGACCUGCAUUUGUGACUGUAUAGCUAGGGUACGGUAGAGGGGGAUGGAAUUCCGCGUGUAGCAGUGAAAUGCGUAGAUAUGCGGAGGAACACCGAUGGCGAAGGCAAUCCCCUGGACCUGUACUGACGCUCAUGCACGAAAGCGUGGGGAGCAAACAGGAUUAGAUACCCGUGUAGUCCCUGUCUCUUAUAA